AUUGAACGCUGGCGGCAGGCUUAACACAUGCAAGUCGAGCGGGGUGAUGGUGCUUGCACUAUCACUUAGCGGCGGACGGGUGAGUAAUGCUUAGGAAUCUGCCUAUUAGUGGGGGACAACAUCUCGAAAGGGAUGCUAAUACCGCAUACGUCCUACGGGAGAAAGCAGGGGAUCACUUGUGACCUUGCGCUAAUAGAUGAGCCUAAGUCGGAUUAGCUAGUUGGUGGGGUAAAGGCCUACCAAGGCGACGAUCUGUAGCGGGUCUGAGAGGAUGAUCCGCCACACUGGGACUGCGACACGGCCCAGACUCCUACGGGAGGCAGCAGUGGGGAAUAUUGGACAAUGGGGGGAACCCUGAUCCAGCCAUGCCGCGUGUGUGAAGAAGGCCUUAUGGUUGUAAAGCACUUUAAGCGAGGAGGAGGCUACUCUAGUUAAUACCUAGGGAUAGUGGACGUUACUCGCAGAAUAAGCACCGGCUAACUCUGUGCCAGCCGCCGCGGUAA
rnacentral:rRNA from 1 species